GUCUACGGCCAUACCACCCUGAACGCGCCCGAUCUCGUCUGAUCUCGGAAGCUAAGCAGGGUCGGGCCUGGUUAGUACUUGGAUGGGAGAUUGUCUAAAUUUAUUGAGUGCCCCUGGGAAGCCUAGCAUUGUGUUUA
ensembl:rRNA 5S_rRNA 5S ribosomal RNA